rfam:Danio rerio chromosome 4, GRCz11 reference primary assembly.
AACCCACUGCAUUGAAAGUCGCUUUGGAUAAAAGCGUCUGCUAAAUGACUAAAU